rnacentral:rRNA from 1 species
ACCGGCGCACGGGUGAGUAACCCGUGGACAACCUGCCUUAGAGUCUGGGAUAACCCGUCAAAAGACGAGCUAAUACCGGAUAAGACCACGAAGAGUUCGCUUUUUGAGGUAAAAGAUGGCCUCUGCUCCUGCAAGCUAUCACUCUAAGAGGGAUCCGCGUCCUAUCAGCUAGUUGGCGAGGUAACGGCUCACCAAGGCUAAGACGGGUAGCUGGUCUGAGAGGAUGGUCAGCCACACUGGGACUGAGACACGGCCCAGAGUCCUACGGGAUGCAGCAGUCAGGAAUAUCGCGCAAUGGAGGAACUCUGACGCAGCGACGCCGCGUGGGUGAUGAAGGCCUUCGGGUCGUAAAGCCCUGUCGGAGGGGAAGAAAAGUCUGUUGGCUAAUAUCCAAUGGACCUUUGACGGUACCCUCCCCAAAAGAACCGGCUAACUCCGUGCCAGCAGCCGCGGUAAGACGGAGGGUGCAAGCGCUGUUCGGAUUGACUGGGCGUAAAGGGCGUGUAGGCGGUUGGCCAAGUCGGAUGUGAAAGCCUGGGGCUCAGCCCCAGAAGUGCAUCCGA